rnacentral:misc_RNA from 1 species
UCUCCGUUGGUGAACCAGCGGAGGGAUCAUUAAAGAGUUGCAAAACUCCCUUAAACCCUUGUGAACCUACCUAUACGUCGUUGCUUCGGCGGGUAGCCCCCACCAGGGCCUUGCCUCCCAGCGAGGUGCCCGCCGGAGGACCAUUUCAAAAUUCUUGAAUUAAUGGCCUCUCUGAGUAAUAAAACAAAUGAAUCAAAACUUUCAACAACGGAUCUCUUGGUUCUGGCAUCGAUGAAGAACGCAGC